rnacentral:rRNA from 1 species
AUUGAACGCUGGCGGCAGGCCUAACACAUGCAAGUCGAACGGUAACAGGGAUCAGCUUGCUGAUUCGCUGACGAGUGGCGGACGGGUGAGUAAUGUCUGGGAAACUGCCUGAUGGAGGGGGAUAACUACUGGAAACGGUAGCUAAUACCGCAUAACGUCGCAAGACCAAAGAGGGGGACCUUCGGGCCUCUUGCCAUCGGAUGUGCCCAGAUGGGAUUAGCUAGUAGGUGGGGUAACGGCUCACCUAGGCGACGAUCCCUAGCUGGUCUGAGAGGAUGACCAGCCACACUGGAACUGAGACACGGUCCAGACUCCUAUGGGAGGCAGCAGUGGGGAAUAUUGCACAAUGGGCGCAAGCCUGAUGCAGCCAUGCCGCGUGUAUGAAGAAGGCCUUCGGGUUGUAAAGUACUUUCAGCGGGGAGGAAGGGAGUAAACUUAAUACCUUUGCUCAUUGACGUUACCCGCAGAAGAAGCACCGGCUAACUCCGUG